rnacentral:rRNA from 1 species
GACGAACGCUGGCGGCGUGCCUAAUACAUGCAAGUAGAACGCACAGUUUAUACCGUAGCUUGCUCCACCAUAGACUGUGAGUUGCGAACGGGUGAGUAACGCGUAGGUAACCUGCCUGGUAGCGGGGGAUAACUAUUGGAAACGAUAGCUAAUACCGCAUAAUAUUAAUUAUUGCAUGAUAAUUAAUUGAAAGGUGCAAUUGCACCACUACCAGAUGGACCUGCGUUGUAUUAGCUAGUAGGUGAGGUAACGGCUCACCUAGGCGACGAUACAUAGCCGACCUGGGAGGGUGGUCGGCCACACUGGGACGGGGACACGGCCCAGACGCCUACGGGAGGCAGCAGUAGGGAAUCUUCGGCAAUGGACGAAAGUCUGACCGAGCAACGCCGCGUGAGGGAAGAAGGUUCUCGGAUCGUAAAGCGCGGUUGUAAGGGAAGAACGGGGGUGAGAGUGGAAAGUUCACACUGUGACGGUAACUGACCAGAAAGGGACGGCUAACUACGUG